rnacentral:lncRNA from 1 species
UUCGGUCAAAAUUUAUGCCCUAAAGCUGUCCAACUAAGUUCUUGAGGUAACUCACUCACCCACACUUCAAUCUUGCAAAAUUAUAGCUCAAAUGGAGCAAAGGUAGCAUGGGUUUGCAACCUAUGGUAGAAUUUGGGUUGAUUGGUUGAGUAAUUAUUUUCUUGCAAUUUCAUGACAUGUGUGAGGGCUUGAGGAUGCUUAUUGGUGGCUGAUGUGAUGAAUUAACAGGUUGUGGCUGCUGAUAUUGUGCUAUGUUACAUGUAUAUAGAAUGAUUGAUGGAAUGAAGUUGGAAGAAAGUUAGAAAUUUGGAGAAGGUACUGUCCGAAAUUUCAAGGACUUGCUGCGCCGUUUUGCUUUGAUAUUUUCGUGCAUAAUUUGGCUACAAAUGUGAGUGAUACAUGUUGUGUUAUGUGUGUGGUGGUUGUCUACAAAAAAAUUAGCCAAUUUGGUUGGAUAAAUUUUGCGUUAUGAGCAAAGAGGCAAAACUGGACUAGGUCCAGAAAUUUUCUGACCAGUGAUUUUGUGGAGAUCAUAACGUUUUUCUCUUUGAUCGAAAUUGAGUGCUGUUUAUGGAAUUUGAAAGUAGACUCGUAGAGCUUUAAAAUGGUACCAAGCUCAUUUUCUAGUUCGUCCCGACCGAUUCGUGGAGAGUCUUGAAAGUUGGCUGCCUGUUUAUUACUGUUCAUCCAAGACUGUCCAGAAAAUCCAUUUUGUUGCUUGAUUUUGAACCACUUAUGUCUGGAUUUUGGAAAUGAUUUCUUCUACACAAAUAUAACCUUGUAAAUAUAGUUUCUAAAGCUACCAACCAUUUUCAAUUUCACUGAGAAUCGAGUGAGAUACGGCCUAAGUAGCGAAGGGCAUUAAAUCUGAAAAAUUUCUGGAAAGGCCAACAGUCCAGGAAUUUUAGCGAAACUUCAACUUUUAUUUCUUGAGCUAGGAACAUCGGAAUCGAGUUUCAUUUUUUUUAUUUGAAACCUGGAUUGGAAUUUUAUCUGCAUAUCAAAUUUCAAAGGCUGGUUUUGAUUCUAUGAUUUUGGCAAAAAUUCCAAAGUUAUUGGAAAAACUUGGACUGUUUUGACCUAUCUUCAAUGAAUAGUAAACUUUCUUGGAGAAAUUGACUUGUUUCUGAUUUGAUUCUUGGAAAGUGACCUUCUACAAAGUUGUUAUGCUUCGAAUGAAGUUUUGGACGGUGUAAAAUUUUCCAUUUUUAGACUUUCCGAACUUUUGACUGAUUUUUCCAAGAACGACUCGAAAAGUGAAAAUUUCCAAUUUGGACCUAAAUGUUCUUUUAAUGGCCUAGGUUACAUUUUUACAACUCUUAGAGCAUUUCAAACCUAUUUUCAUGGUGAACUUGAGUUCACCUAUCACUUGAGACCUCAUUUGAAAGUCGGUUUCUUAUGAACUGAAAUACUUUGAAAACUGGAAAUUUGGAGUCAAAAUUGACUGUUUCUUUUCUUUGCAAAAAUACUGUGUGGCCUGGAAUUUGAUAUACAAUGCAUUAUUGCAUACAUUCAGGAUCUCAAGAGGAUUUCGAGGGAACUCCCGGCGAAGCGUCUUAGAGCUAAUUUCUCAAACUUUGACUUUUGAUACUUGGUGAGUGUCAAGUGCAUGUUUACUUGUACUUCACUUGAGAUUUGUUGCCUACAUGAACUCUACUUGAACUUGUUGUUACAUGAACUAUACUUGUUGAGGGAAGUGUGUACUUU